rnacentral:rRNA from 1 species
GUCUACGGCCAUACCACCCUGAAUGGGCCCGAUCUUGUCUGAUCUCGGAAGCUAAGCAGGUUCGGGCCUGGUUAGUACUUGGAUGGGAGAACCUGAGAAGAUUUGUAGCUUUCUUUA